UACGGAGGGGGCUAGCGUUGUUCGGAAUUACUGGGCGUAAAGCGCACGUAGGCGGCGAUUUAAGUCAGAGGUGAAAGCCCGGGGCUCAACCCCGGAAUUGCCUUUGAGACUGGAUUGCUAGAAUCUUGGAGAGGCGAGUGGAAUUCCGAGUGUAGAGGUGAAAUUCGUAGAUAUUGGGAAGAACACCGGUGGCGAAGGCGGCUCACUGGCCCGUAACUGACGCUCAUGCACGACAGCGUGGGGAUCAAACAGG
rnacentral:rRNA from 1 species